rfam:Schistosoma rodhaini strain Burundi genome assembly, scaffold: SROB_scaffold0001806
AUCCAGCUGAUGAGUCCCAAAUAGGAUGAAACGAGUGUCCUGGAU